rnacentral:rRNA from 1 species
AUUGAACGCUGGCGGCAGGCCUAACACAUGCAAGUUGAGCGGAGCGCCGGACGGGUGAGUAAUGCCUAGGAAUAUGCCUGGUAGUGGGGAUAACGUCCGGAAACGGGCGCUAAUACCGCAUACUAUUAGAUGAGCCUAGGUCGGAUUAGCUAGUUGGUGGGGUAAAGGCCUACCAAGGCGACGAUCCGUAACUGGUCUGAGAGGAUGAUCAGUCACACGGUAACUGAGAGACGGUCCAGAAUCCUACGGGAGGCAGCAGUUGGGAAUAUUGGGCAAUGGGCGAAAGCCUGAUCCAGCCAUGCCGCGUGUGUGAAGAAGGUCUUCGGAUUGUAAAGCACUUUAAGUUAGGAGGCGUUACCAGCAGAAUAAGCACCGGCUAACUUCGUGCCAGCAGCCGCGGUAAUAC